GAGUUUGAUCAUGGCUCAGAUUGAACGCUGGCGGCAUGCCUUACACAUGCAAGUCGAACGGCAGCACGGGAGCUUGCUCCUGGUGGCGAGUGGCGAACGGGUGAGUAAUGCAUCGGAACGUAUCCUGGAGUGGGGGAUAACGUAGCGAAAGUUACGCUAAUACCGCAUAUUCUGUGAGCAGGAAAGCGGGGGACCUUCGGGCCUCGCGCUCUUGGAGCGGCCGAUGUCGGAUUAGCUAGUUGGUGAGGUAAAGGCUCACCAAGGCGACGAUCCGUAGCAGGUCUGAGAGGAUGAUCUGCCACAAUGGAACUGAGACACGGUCCAGACUCCUACGGGAGGCAGCAGUGGGGAAUUUUGGACAAUGGGGGCAACCCUGAUCCAGCCAUGCCGCGUGAGUGAAGAAGGCCUCGGUU
rnacentral:rRNA from 1 species